rnacentral:misc_RNA from 1 species
AAAUUUCAAUAUGCGAUAUAAUUAUUUUAUAGAGGCUAAAUUUCACUCACUGUCCCUCAACUUUGAGGAUUGUCUCAAUAAUGUCAUUGAAAUUCAAUUUGUAUCACAAAAAUAUUCUAACUUCAAUUUAACACUACCCAAAGUCUCUCAUGUCAUUUUCCGAUGAGAGUUCCGGUAAGAUGCUGACGUUGACAUGCCUAAGUAGAAUAAAAAAAAAAAGAUCUUUCUUUGUCAUGUGACAUUUUAAUAGUAAAAAAAUAUUUUUUUCUCUCUCCUGCCCCUUGUCUUCUCUCUCUAUGGCUAUCCUUCAUUUUUCUUUCCUAAUUGCCUAAUCCCUUUUCUUUUCUUUCCAAUCUCAUCUCAUCCAUGACUCCAUGCCACCUCAAACCUCCUACAAUCUCAUCCCCGACAGGCGACAACCCCUUUGCCUCUAGCCACAUUCUUCUCUGGCCUCACAAAUUCAUUUCUUCCCUUUCUAGCUUCCCCCGUGUCAUUUCUACUCUACCUAUAAUUUGCCUUUUCACUCCUUCCUCCUACCCUCAGUCAUUCUUGAUCUUUGUUUUGCAUUCUUUCACGCUUUUUCACUGCUUUCAUUUUGGUUAAUAUCUUGAAGCAUUUCAAAUCCUCACACCUCUGGUUUUUUAAGGUUGAAGCCUCACAAUCUCACAUAUCAUGCUUUCCUUUGGUUCUCGAUCCUCACAUUCACAAAAUCUGCCUUUAUUUCUCAAAGCCUUACACUUGUUCUUCUUCUCAUUGGACGCUAGUCAACAAUCAUCCUCCCUUUGCCUUCCUCUCACUCCUCAGAACACAUGUGGAACCUUCCUCUCAUUCUCUUCCUCUUAGUCUCACUCAUCAGUCGCCUCCCCUUUAACUCUUCAGUGGUUGAAAUUUUGUGUGCAUCUGUGUUGAAAUUUUGUCAAUUGUUAUUUGGUUUAUAUUUCAAUUAAUUUUGUUAAUUGGGUUGAAAUUUAGCCUCCCUCCGCUUUCUCAUAUCAUUCUCUAAUUCUUCAUCUAACUCAGAACACAUGAAGCACCUUCGGUUUUUCAUCGGUUGAAAUUUCAUCCCAUCUUUUUCCCUUGGGUUGUUAUAUGGUUGAAAGGUUGUUAACUAGUUUUCAUGUGAUUGAAUUAAUUUUGUUAAUUUAGGUUUGUUCUGUGAGAUGGAUUAAUUUUGUUGGUGUGAAUUGAUUAAUUUUGUUAUAUUUGAUAUUAAUUGAUGUUGUUGCAUAUUGUAAUGAAGAGAUGACUUAUAUUGCAUCUAGGUUUAAUUUUUUUUCUUUUGAAUUUUGAUUUUCAUUUCUGUGUGCAUCUGGGUUUGAUUUAUAUGUGGUUUUGUUUUGUUGUUGAUAUUGGUACAUCAUAUGGAAUGAAUUUGGGUUUUGGGUGUUGCAUACAGGAAUAACAAGAGGGAGAGACGAGAGAGGUGAGGAGAGAAAAAAUAUAUAUUUUUAUUAUUAAAAUGCCACAUGGUGAAGAGAGCAACUUUUUUAUUCUUUUUAUUCCACUUAGGCAUUUCCACGUUAGCAUCUGGCUAGAGCUCUCAUUGGAAAAUGACAUGAAGGAAUUUGAGUAGUAUUAAAUUGAAGUUACAGUAUUUUUGUGAUACAAAUUGAAAUU